AUUGAACGCUGGCGGCAGGCCUAACACAUGCAAGUCGAACGAGUGGCGGACGGGUGAGGAAUGUCUGGGAAACUGCCUGAUGGAGGGGGAUAACUAAUGGAAACGGUAGCUAAUACCGCAUACCAUCAGAUGUGCCCAGAUGGGAUUAGCUUGGUGGUGGGGUAACGGCUCACCAAGGCUACGAUCCCUAGCUGGGCGUAGAGGAUGACAAGACACACUGGAACUGCGACACGGGCCAGAAUCCGACGGGAGGCAGAAUUGGGGAAUAUGGCACAAGGGGUGCAAGCCUGAUGCAGCCAUGCCGCGUGUAUGAAGAAGGCCUUCGGGUUGUAAAGUACUUUCAGCAGUGAGGCGUUACCCGCAGAAGAAGCACCGGCUAACUCCGUGCCAGCAGCCGCGGUAAUUC
rnacentral:rRNA from 1 species